CCUGGAGCUGUGGGGCUCAGGGUCCAGCUGGUGCCCGGCCUCUCAAGAAUCUUGAACCUGCUAGCUGCUGUCUGCUGCUGUCUCAGCCGCUGCUCUGGGCCUAAAGCAGCAGGUAGAGGGUGGAGCUUGAAUGGGAUAGGUCCCCAAGGCUUCUGGCCUGGAUCCUGCUAAGGCAGGACUUUGCCCAGUUUUGCAGGCAGGCCUCACAACUCUGCUUGGGCAGGAGCAGGGCCUUUCAGGCCUGGGCUGGGAUCCAGCUCCUCACAGGUUCACCUGGAGGAGACAGGCCUCCAACUGAUUCCAUGCCUGCAGGGAGAGAGUUCAGGCACUGUCCCUGGCCACUGCAGGUGACCAGUGAGCCUCCAAGCGGGGCCUACUUCCCACUCACCACAGUGCUGGCUGUCUUCCAGAGUGUUGGGCAGGACAAGCAGCCCCACCUGGGUCUUGUUUACAGUCCUCCUCAGUGCCCCGCCCGGGGACUGGAGGACACUACUCCAAUCUCGGCAUCCUAUUGACAGAUUUCACCUGGUCCCCCCUUCUCCUCUGUCCCUGGAGGCCCUGAGCUGGGGUUCCAUGGGUUCUUCUGUCUUGCCAGAGCCUCUUGACUCCCUGCUGGCUCAGGGGCCAGGGCUUGGUUGUGGGUUUUUUGAAGUACAGAGGACACUGUCUUUUCCAUCCCCACCCCCACCACUUUUGUCACUGUUGGCUGGCUGGAAGGGGUGGCAUUGUCCCUAGGGAGCCAGGCCCUAGCAGGAGACACAGGCGCCUACUGACUUGGCCCUUACCUCUGUCUCCUGGGCUCAGCUCUCUGCACAGGUAGUGCCUCUGGGGACGGUCUCCUCAACUCUCCCACUCUCGGCUCAGGACGUUCGGAGUGGCCCAGCUGGAGGCCUGAAGUGUAGACUCUGGUCCGUGCGGGAUGGGUUUACAAACUCUAAAGGAACAGGACAGAAGCUGGGGGGGCAAGGGUAGAGAUGCCCCCUUUCCCCAAAGCACAAGAUAAAGUCCAGCUGAUUCUGGCGUAGGAGAGAGAAUCAGCCACGGACGGGGUACGAGGGCCAAAAUAAAAGCUGGUCUAGUAA
rnacentral:lncRNA from 1 species